rnacentral:rRNA from 1 species
UGGGGAAUUGUUCGCAAUGGGCGCAAGCCUGACGACGCAACGCCGCGUGGAGGACGAAGAUCUUCGGGUCGUAAACUCCUGUCGAGCGGGAAGAACACCCACCCGGUGAACAACCGGGAGGGCUGACGGUACCGCUAAAGGAAGCCCCGGCUAACUCCGUGCCAGCAGCCGCGGUAAUACGGGGGGGGCAAGCGUUGUUCGGAAUUACUGGGCGUAAAGGGCUCGUAGGCGGCCAACUAAGUCGGACGUGAAAUCCCCAGGCUCAACCUGGGAACUGCGUCCGAUACUGGAUGGCUUGAAUCCGGGAGAGGGAUGCAGAAUUCCAGGUGUAGCGGUGAAAUGCGUAGAUAUCUGGAGGAAUACCGGUGGCGAAGGCGGCAUCCUGGACCGGCAUUGACGCUGAUGAGCGAAAGCCAGGGGAGCAAACGG